AGGGCGCACGGUGGAUGCCUUGGCACUAGAAGCCGAUGAAGGACGUUACUAACGACGAUAUGCUUUGGGGAGCUGUAAGUAAGCUUUGAUCCAGAGAUUUCCGAAUGGGGAAACCCAGCAUGAGUUAUGUCAUGUUAUCGAUAUGUGAAUACAUAGCAUAUCAGAAGGCACACCCGGAGAACUGAAACAUCUUAGUACCCGGAGGAAGAGAAAGAAAAUUCGAUCCCCUUAGUAGCGGCGAGCGAAACGGGAAGAGCCCAAACCAACAAGCUUGCUUGUUGGGGUUGUAGGACACUCUAUACGGAGUUACAAAGGACGACAUUAGACGAAUCAUCUGGAAAGAUGAAUCAAAGAAGGUAAUAAUCCUGUAGUCGAAAAUGUUGUCUCUCUUGAGUGGAUCCUGAGUACGACGGAGCACGUGAAAUUCCGUCGGAAUCUGGGAGGACCAUCUCCUAAGGCUAAAUACUCUCUAGUGACCGAUAGUGAACCAGUACCGUGAGGGAAAGGUGAAAAGCACCCCGGAAGGGGAGUGAAAUAGAACCUGAAACCGUGUGCUUACAAGUAGUCAGAGCCCGUUAAUGGGUGAUGGCGUGCCUUUUGUAGAAUGAACCGGCGAGUUACGAUUUGAUGCAAGGUUAAGCAGUAAAUGUGGAGCCGUAGCGAAAGCGAGUCUGAAUAGGGCGUUUAGUAUUUGGUCGUAGACCCGAAACCAGGUGAUCUACCCUUGGUCAGGUUGAAGUUCAGGUAACACUGAAUGGAGGACCGAACCGACUUACGUUGAAAAGUGAGCGGAUGAACUGAGGGUAGCGGAGAAAUUCCAAUCGAACCUGGAGAUAGCUGGUUCUCUCCGAAAUAGCUUUAGGGCUAGCCUCAAGUGAUGAUUAUUGGAGGUAGAGCACUGUUUGGACGAGGGGCCCCUCUCGGGUUACCGAAUUCAGACAAACUCCGAAUGCCAAUUAAUUUAACUUGGGAGUCAGAACAUGGGUGAUAAGGUCCGUGUUCGAAAGGGAAACAGCCCAGACCACCAGCUAAGGUCCCAAAAUAUAUGUUAAGUGGAAAAGGAUGUGGCGUUGCCCAGACAACUAGGAUGUUGGCUUAGAAGCAGCCAUCAUUUAAAGAGUGCGUAAUAGCUCACUAGUCGAGUGACACUGCGCCGAAAAUGUACCGGGGCUAAACAUAUUACCGAAGCUGUGGAUUGUCCUUUGGACAAUGGUAGGAGAGCGUUCUAAGGGCGUUGAAGCAUGAUCGUAAGAACAUGUGGAGCGCUUAGAAGUGAGAAUGCCGGUGUGAGUAGCGAAAGACGGGUGAGAAUCCCGUCCACCGAUUGACUAAGGUUUCCAGAGGAAGGCUCGUCCGCUCUGGGUUAGUCGGGUCCUAAGCUGAGGCCGACAGGCGUAGGCGAUGGAUAACAGGUUGAUAUUCCUGUACCACCUAUAAUCGUUUUAAUCGAUGGGGGGACGCAGUAGGAUAGGCGAAGCGUGCGAUUGGAUUGCACGUCUAAGCAGUAAGGCUGAGUAUUAGGCAAAUCCGGUACUCGUUAAGGCUGAGCUGUGAUGGGGAGAAGACAUUGUGUCUUCGAGUCGUUGAUUUCACACUGCCGAGAAAAGCCUCUAGAUAGAAAAUAGGUGCCCGUACCGCAAACCGACACAGGUAGUCAAGAUGAGAAUUCUAAGGUGAGCGAGCGAACUCUCGUUAAGGAACUCGGCAAAAUGACCCCGUAACUUCGGGAGAAGGGGUGCUCUUUAGGGUUAACGCCCAGAAGAGCCGCAGUGAAUAGGCCCAAGCGACUGUUUAUCAAAAACACAGGUCUCUGCUAAACCGUAAGGUGAUGUAUAGGGGCUGACGCCUGCCCGGUGCUGGAAGGUUAAGAGGAGUGGUUAGCUUCUGCGAAGCUACGAAUCGAAGCCCCAGUAAACGGCGGCCGUAACUAUAACGGUCCUAAGGUAGCGAAAUUCCUUGUCGGGUAAGUUCCGACCCGCACGAAAGGCGUAACGAUUUGGGCACUGUCUCAACGAGAGACUCGGUGAAAUCAUAGUACCUGUGAAGAUGCAGGUUACCCGCGACAGGACGGAAAGACCCCGUGGAGCUUUACUGUAGCCUGAUAUUGAAAUUCGGCACAGCUUGUACAGGAUAGGUAGGAGCCUUUGAAACGUGAGCGCUAGCUUACGUGGAGGCGCUGGUGGGAUACUACCCUAGCUGUGUUGGCUUUCUAACCCGCACCACUUAUCGUGGUGGGAGACAGUGUCAGGCGGGCAGUUUGACUGGGGCGGUCGCCUCCUAAAAGGUAACGGAGGCGCUCAAAGGUUCCCUCAGAAUGGUUGGAAAUCAUUCAUAGAGUGUAAAGGCAUAAGGGAGCUUGACUGCGAGACCUACAAGUCGAGCAGGGUCGAAAGACGGACUUAGUGAUCCGGUGGUUCCGCAUGGAAGGGCCAUCGCUCAACGGAUAAAAGCUACCCCGGGGAUAACAGGCUUAUCUCCCCCAAGAGUUCACAUCGACGGGGAGGUUUGGCACCUCGAUGUCGGCUCAUCGCAUCCUGGGGCUGUAGUCGGUCCCAAGGGUUGGGCUGUUCGCCCAUUAAAGCGGUACGCGAGCUGGGUUCAGAACGUCGUGAGACAGUUCGGUCCCUAUCCGUCGUGGGCGUAGGAAAUUUGAGAGGAGCUGUCCUUAGUACGAGAGGACCGGGAUGGACAUACCUCUGGUGUACCAGUUGUCGUGCCAACGGCAUAGCUGGGUAGCUAUGUGUGGACGGGAUAAGUGCUGAAAGCAUCUAAGCAUGAAGCCCCCCUCAAGAUGAGAUUUCCCAACUUCGGUUAU
rnacentral:rRNA from 1 species